AUGCUCCCCAGGGCGACGAGUGAGCAGCGCACGCGGCAGCAUUCGCAUGCCUUCACGCUUGGCUGAGUACCCUAUCGAGGCGACAUAUAGACGGAGGGAAAGCAACCGCCCAGAGCGAUCCACCCAGCAACCGGCACACGCAUCUACACUCACCAAAAAAAAAGAACACCUUUAGAAGGAGAGCACGAUGGCGCCUCGUACUGGCCCUCGCGUGAAGGUGAUCUCGCCCAACUCGGAGGCUGUCACCGUGCCCCGCUCCCUCAGCGUCGCCUCCUCGGCCUACAGCAGCGGACACGUCACGCCAGGCCCCGCCUCUCUCCUGCGUCCUGGGUUCCGUCGCGGAGAGCCGCGGCGGGCCGGCGACGAGAUGGCGUACGGCGGCCGCCCGGAAGCCACGGGUGCCGCUCUCCCGUCAAGACGUACUGCGCUGCGCGCGAUGGGCGUGAACACGCUGCACGAGACCGGGCCAUCCCAUGGCAAGAGCGCUCCGUGCGGUCUUGCGCCAUCGCCAGCGCAGACGGUAACGCGUACCACCACCACCACUACCGCCACCGCCAGCGGCAGCGACAGCGGUGGCAAUCGCGGCAAAGAUGCGCACCCUCGUCGCUCGUUGCCCAACUUCUUUGAGGAGGCGGAUUUCAGUAACAACAGCGGCGCGGAGAGGCGACAGUGGCCGCUUAAGAUGAGCACCUCGCGCAGCCACUCUACGUCUCACCACGCGAAUGCUUCUGCGGUGAAGCAGCGGCAGCAGCCAACGUCUCGCCGGCGAGCCGACGACGAAGAGGCGGUCCGCCGCGCGACGGCCGCCCUCGAGCACGCCGGGGGCGCCGUCCUGCGCCGCCCCUUCAGCGGUGGCCAUGCCACCAGCGACAAAGGCCGCGCAGCUACCUCUGCGCUGGGUGGCAACACGUCCUCGCUGCCGGUACAGCAGCCGGAACGUCGAGGCCUGUGCCUGCCUCCCACGAUCCCGAUCACCUCACACACGCGCCGCCACCGCAGCGAUUACAGCGACUACAGCGGGAACGACAGCAGCAUGGACAGCACCGUGAGCUCCUACAAGCGUGCACGCUCUUGGGCAGAGCCGCCGCCGCUGCCGGUGCAGGCAGCAUCGCAGCAGCCGACGCCCACCUCUCGACCGUCAUUCUACGUGGCGCAGCCGGCAGCGGAGAGUGCGGCGCAGCGUCUUACUGUGCCACGCGUCUGCCCCGGGAUGUUCGCCGGGCUCAGCGCGAUUCCGGUCGGUGAGGAGCUUUUUGUUGGUGCGGAUGCGUUGCACCCGAACUGUACUUCUACCGUCUGCGCUGCACCCGUGAUGGAUGCUGUCGCCGCUUCCGCCGCGGGUGGUGGUUUAGUGCAGCAGCGCUACUGCGUCCGCCCCCUCUGGAGUCUGGUCGGAACCUUCAAAACGUCGCUGAGCGGCCUCGUCACGAUCGACUUGAAGCAGGAGUGCCUGCGAUGGUCGCAGCGCAAUCCGAAGGGAGGGAAGCAGACCAUCAAGGUUCCGCUGGCCAGCGUGUUGGACGUCUUCACGACGAGAGUAGUGCAGGAGGACGAGCACAUCGAAGAGCGGCAGUACACCGUCGUCGCGCGCACUUCGACUCGGCCCUCGCAGGUGGUCUUCGGCUUUGCGACGGCGACGGAGGCGAAUCACCUGCGCAACGUCCUAAAGCGACGCUGACGCCGCCGCACACCCCCCUCCCUCCUCCCGGUGACUCACACAUACACACACACACACGUCGAUGCUCGCGUACGCAUCUUUUUCCGCUCCGCUCAGUUCAUACCUGUAUUUGUAUCUCCUCUCCGCUGUUGGUGUCGAAAUUAUCGAGAGGGGCUGGCCUGUACUGUGCAUGCGUGCAAGCGUAUCAAUAAAGGUGUAUGCGUUCGACGACAGGUAUGGGAAGGCAUCAGGGACGAGUGGCGUGAGGCGGUACGUGUUUUGUGUACGUGAGGGGGUGAGGCGAAUCGGUGGCUUGCCGAAGCCUUCCCCCCUCCCCAACAGUCAACUUGGUUGCGUGACAAGGAAUAAAAAGGUACAAGACGCAGAGGCUCACCUGCAGGCGCAUCACCAUAGCGUGCAUGUCGCCUCCAUCCACCCACAUACAUACACGCCUACCCCUCACUCCCUUUCUCACUCUCUCACAUCCCACUCUACUGACUCGUUCAGCUUCUGCCUCCGUGCGGCGUUGCCUGACGACGCGCUGGUCUGCAUGGCUGCAUUGUAGACGAAGCCUCCGCAAGGCCGCGUCGGUGCCCUCCCCCUCUCUUUGAUUGACCGACACCGCAUUCACGCCCCUGACAAAAUAGUGCCAUCUCUUUUUUUGUGCUGUCCAGCGACUCCUGGCCAUGCGUGUGUGUGUGUGCACGUGCAUGCAGGCGCGUGUCUACCGCCCCUUCUUCUCCCGCUCACUCACUCGCUCGCCGUCUUCCACUUAGAUCUCGACAUAGACUCUCUCUUUCUCUCGACCUCGCAAAGAAAGGCAACUACAAGAAUGAGGGGGACGCCCACAGCACCCGCCACUGCCGUGGCAUCAUCGUGAUCGUCGUCACGGUUGGGUGUGCGUGGCAUGCAGUGAGGAGGUGAUCCCUGGUGGUGGUGGCGGUGGGGGGACACGCGCGUCUGUGUGCGUCGGUGCACUUGCAAUGCCCGGG
rnacentral:misc_RNA from 1 species